rnacentral:rRNA from 1 species
UACGGGGGGGGCAAGCGUUGUUCGGAAUUACUGGGCGUAAAGGGCGCGUAGGCGGCCUUCUAAGUCGGACGUGAAAUCCCUCGGCUUAACCGAGGAACUGCGUCUGAUACUGGAAGGCUUGAAUCCGGGAGAGGGAUGUGGAAUUCCAGGUGUAGCGGUGAAAUGCGUAGAUAUCUGGAGGAACACCGGUGGCGAAGGCGGCAUCCGGGACCGGCAUUGACGCUGAGGCGCGAAAGCUAGGGGAGCAAACGGG